GUUAAUGUAGCUUAAAUUACGCAAAGCAAGGCACUGAAAAUGCCUAGAUGAAUCGUCAGAUUCCAUAAACA
rnacentral:tRNA from 1 species